UACGGAGGGGGCUAGCGUUGUUCGGAAUUACUGGGCGUAAAGCGCACGUAGGCGGCUUUGUAAGUUAGAGGUGAAAGCCCGGGGCUCAACCCCGGAAUUGCCUUUAAGACUGCAUCGCUAGAAUUGUGGAGAGGUGAGUGGAAUUCCGAGUGUAGAGGUGAAAUUCGUAGAUAUUCGGAAGAACACCAGUGGCGAAGGCGACUCACUGGACAAAUAUUGACGCUGAGGUGCGAAAGCGUGGGGAGCAAACAGG
rnacentral:rRNA from 1 species